AACGAACGCUGGCGGCAGGCUUAACACAUGCAAGUCGAACGAACUCUUCGGAGUUAGUGGCAGACGGGUGAGUAACGCGUGGGAACCUACCUUUAGGUACGGAACAACAGUUGGAAACGACUGCUAAUACCGUAUGAGCCCUAUGGGGGAAAGAUUUAUCGCCUAAGGAUGGGCCCGCGUUGGAUUAGCUAGUUGGUGGGGUAAAGGCCUACCAAGGCGACGAUCCAUAGCUGGUCUGAGAGGAUGAUCAGCCACACUGGGACUGAGACACGGCCCAG
rnacentral:rRNA from 1 species